rnacentral:lncRNA from 1 species
CAGGAGUGGAGGGAGCACUAGUUUUCUUCCGAGGCAGGUCUUUACGGUAACCUUCAAAUGCUGCAAGAUUCCAGCACCUCGGCUCCCUUCCCCUGCCUCUAUUUUUAUCUCUUCUCACCCUGUCGUGUUCCUAGGAUGCUGCCUCUUGCUGUGGUGACAGACAUGAGGCUGGGCUGGGAGCAGUCAGAGACAGAUGGGAACGACCUCCUGGAAGACGCCUGGCACGGAGGAGCUGCAAGGGCUGUGUGUGCUCUGGCUCCACCGCUCCCCGUGGCACAUCUCCAAGGCCCGCAUCCCUACGGCCCUGCAGAGGAGAGCGCCACGCCCUCCCUGCAUCCGGGUAACCACAUGCCAGGGACGUGAGGACAGCCAUGGACGCACUUCAGCAGGACACCUUGGCUUCUGGCGCUCUCCCUGUGCCAAUUAGCAGUGAAGAAUCCUUCUGCUGAAAUAAUCCGAUUAUGAGGCACUGAAUAGCAGCCACAGACUGUCACAGUCAAAUCCUCAUCCGCAUAGAAAAGAAAAUCAACCCUCUUAGCGUCCUAGGGGUUGGCCUCCUGGAACAUAAGGCAUCUUCCUCUGACAGACAUGCUUCUGAGCCUUUGGUGAGUCUGUGCCUCUCUCGGUACCUUCGAAAAUGAGAUGAAUGCAAAGAUCCCUUUCUUCCCCAAAUGCUCAUGUGUGCACUGAUUCCCAUCCAAUUUCCAGAGCUCAUGGCUCCUUGGAGACCGACCAUCCCUGGACUCCUGGCCCCACUGUUUGCGAACUGGAGAUGGGCACUUGCUGUCCGCCUCUGCACUGAUUGAAUCAGGAGCCGCUGCAGCUGCCGACUCUUAGCACCCCCGAAAGGAGCUCAGGUGGAGCCCAGGAGUGAGGCCGUCUGUGCUCCGGGAGAACUGGCAGGACAGAUCUCCAGAGAGUUAGUUAGAUAUUUUCAGGAGAAGAUUUUAUGAGCCUAAUUCUUGCAUCUCCUUGUAUCUGGAAAAGCACUAACAUCCUUCACAGUGACGCUGGCUCCUGGUGCCUAGCAGUGACCUUCAUGAGACUAGCAGUGACCUUCAUGAGACUAGCGGCGACCUUCUGCAAAAUGUGUGCCUGGCUGCAUGGAGCUCCCCCUUCACCAAAAUCACGUAUAUACGGACAUUUCCUCCUGCCUCUUUGGAGAAGGUUCUGAGAGCUCUCUGAAAUGCUGCCUCUGGGGCUGUGGUCCUCAUUUUGCCCCAAAUAAACCUUAACAACUGCCACA